rnacentral:rRNA from 1 species
GAUGAACGCUGGCGGCGUGCCUAAUACAUGCAAGUCGAGCGAACAGACGAGGAGCUUGCUCCUCUGACGUUAGCGGCGGACGGGUGAGUAACACGUGGAUAACCUACCUAUAAGACUGGGAUAACUUCGGGAAACCGGAGCUAAUACCGGAUAACAUGUUGAACCGCAUGGUUCAACAGUGAAAGACGGUCUUGCUGUCACUUAUAGAUGGAUCCGCGCCGCAUUAGCUAGUUGGUAAGGUAACGGCUUACCAAGGCAACGAUGCGUAGCCGACCUGAGAGGGGGAUCGGCCACACUGGAACUGAGACACGGUCCAGACUCCUAAGGGAGGCAGCAGUAGGGAAUCUUCCGCAAUGGGCGAAAGCCUGACGGAGCAACGCCGCGUGAGUGAAGAAGGUCUUCGGAUCGUAAAACUCUGUUAUGAGGGAAGAACAAAUGUGUAAGUAACUAUGCACGUCUUGACGGUACCUAAUCAGAAAGCCACGGCUAACUACGUG